rnacentral:tRNA from 1 species
GAGGAUAUAGCUCAGUGGUAGAGCGCAUGCUUAGCAUGCACAAGGUCCUGGGUUCAAAACCCAGCACCUCCA